UAUUUUUUGCAUGGAAUAAUGGAAUACGACCUCGGUUCUAUUUUGUUGGUUCUCGGAAUCCGAGGUAAUGAUUAAUAGGAACAACUGGGGGCAUUCGUAUUGCGACGUUAGAGGUGAAAUUCUUGGAUCGUCGCAAGACGGACUACAGCGAAAGCAUUUGCCAAAGGUGUUUUCAUCAAUCAAGAACGAAAGUUAGAGGUUCGAAGGCGAUUAGAUACCGCCCUAGUUCUAACCAUAAACGUUGCCACCUGGCGAUCCGCCGACGUUACUAUAAUGGCUCGGCGGGCGGCCUCCGGGAAACC
rnacentral:rRNA from 1 species